rnacentral:rRNA from 1 species
UAACGCGUGGAUAACCUGCCCAUACCGGGGGAUAACAGUUAGAAAUGACUGCUAAUACCGCAUAAGCGCACGGAGCCGCAUGGCGCAGUGUGAAAAACUCCGGUGGUAUGGGAUGGAUCCGCGUCUGAUUAGCUAGUUGGCGGGGUAACGGCCCACCAAGGCAGCGAUCAGUAGCCGACCUGAGAGGGUGGCCGGCCACAUUGGGACUGAGACACGGCCCAAACUCCUACGGGAGGCAGCAGUGGGGAAUAUUGCACAAUGGGGGAAACCCUGAUGCAGCAACGCCGCGUGAGUGAAGAAGUAUUUCGGUAUGUAAAGCUCUAUCAGCAGGGAAGAAGAAGGACGGUACCUGACUAAGAAGCCCCGGCUAACUACGUGCCAGCAGCCGCGGUAAUACGUAGGGGGCGAGCGUUAUCCGGAUUUACUGGGUGUAAAGGGAGCGUAGACGGUUUUUCAAGUCUGAAGUGAAAGCCCGCGGCUCAACUGCGGAACGGCUUUGGAAACUGAGGGACUAGAGUGCUGGAGGGGCAGGCGGAAUUCCUGGUGUAGCGGUGAAAUGCGUAGAUAUCAGGAGGAACACCGGUGGCGAAGGCGGCCUGCUGGACAGUAACUGACGUUGAGGCUCGAAAGCGUGGGGAGCAAACAGGAUUAGAUACCCUGGUAGUCCACGCGGUAAACGAUGAAUGCUAGGUGU